AGAGCGAACGCUGGCGGCAUGCUUAACACAUGCAAGUCGCACGGUCGGGGGAAACUUCGGCAGUGGCGGACGGGUGAGUAACGCGUAGGUAUCUAUCCAUGGGUGGGGGAUAACGGCGGGAAACUGCUGCUAAUACCGCAUGACACCUGAGGGUCAAAGGCGCGAGUCGCCUGUGGAGGAGCCUGCGUCCGAUUAGCUUGUUGGUGGGGUAAUGGCCUACCAAGGCGACGACGGGUA
rnacentral:rRNA from 1 species